CUUUGUGGUUCAACUGAUUUGAAGAGCUUGCUCAGAUAUGACGAUGGACAUUGCAAAGAGUGGCGAACGGGUGAGUAACACGUGGGAAACCUACCUCUUAGCAGGGGAUAACAUUUGGAAACAGAUGCUAAUACCGUAUAACAAUGACAACCGCAUGGUUGUUAUUUAAAAGAUGGUUCUGCUAUCACUAAGAGAUGGUCCCGCGGUGCAUUAGCUAGUUGGUAAGGUAAUGGCUUACCAAGGCGAUGAUGCAUAGCCGAGUUGAGAGACUGAUCGGCCACAAUGGGACUGAGACACGGCCCAUACUCCUACGGGAGGCAGCAGUAGGGAAUCUUCCACAAUGGGCGAAAGCCUGAUGGAGCAACGCCGCGUGUGUGAUGAAGGGUUUCGGCUCGUAAAACACUGUUGUAAGAGAAGAAUGACAUUGAGAGUAACUGUUCAAUGUGUGACGGUAUCUUACCAGAAAGGAACGGCUAAAUACGUGCCAGCAGCCGCGGUAAUACGUAUGUUCCAAGCGUUAUCCGGAUUUAUUGGGCGUAAAGCGAGCGCAGACGGUUAUUUAAGUCUGAAGUGAAAGCCCUCAGCUCAACUGAGGAAUUGCUUUGGAAACUGGAUGACUUGAGUGCAGUAGAGGAAAGUGGAACUCCAUGUGUAGCGGUGAAAUGCGUAGAUAUAUGGAAGAACACCAGUGGCGAAGGCGGCUUUCUGGACUGUAACUGACGUUGAGGCUCGAAAGUGUGGGUAGCAAACAGGAUUAGAUACCCUGGUAGUCCACACCGU
rnacentral:rRNA from 1 species